CUAUUGACUUCAGUUGCAAUAGUGGCUGUUCAGUAUUUGUGCAGUGAUCCAUGGUGACUGACCUUAAAUUCCACAAUAAAUAAUGAUGACACAAAGCUGGUAUGUUCAUUGUGCCCUGUGCCCUGUGCCCUGUGAACUGGGAAGACAAAGAUUGCCAUCAGCCAGCUGAUUAUGUGCCACCAACAAAAGGAAUCACUCUCAGGCAGUGAAUCAAAGGGGUGGGACAUGUCAUCAGCCUCUGAAACAACGAAGUAGUCUCAGAAGCUACACACACACUUCUGGUUCCAUCUCUAACUGCAUUCCUGAGGUGACCUAAGCAAGAUUGACUUCACUUUUUGUGAGUAAACAGAGUUCAUCUACUACCGUGUUUUCUUCUGAUCCUAGUUUACACUGCAUGACCAAGGUGGCUAUAUGAAUAAGGAUCAUGAAAGAUGCUGCAGUAGAAAAGAUCUUUGCCCAGCUGUUUGUAAAGAGGGACUCCUGACCAUUAGGUCCAGUCGCGGACGACUCUGGG